rnacentral:rRNA from 1 species
AACGCUGGCGGCAGGCUUAACACAUGCAAGUCGAGCGCAUCCUUCGGGGUGAGCGGCAGACGGGUGAGUAACGCGUGGGAAUCUACCUUUUGCUACGGAAUAGCUCCGGGAAACUGGAAUUAAUACCGUAUGUGCCCUUAGGGGGAAAGAUUUAUCGGCAAGAGAUGAGCCCGCGUUGGAUUAGCUAGUUGGUGGGGUAAAGGCCUACCAAGGCGACGAUCCAUAGCUGGUCUGAGAGGAUGAUCAGCCACAUUGGGACUGAGACACGGCCCAAACUCCUACGGGAGGCAGCAGUGGGGAAUAUUGGACAAUGGGCGCAAGCCUGAUCCAGCCAUGCCGCGUGAGUGAUGAAGGCCUUAGGGUUGUAAAGCUCUUUCACCGGAGAAGAUAAUGACGGUAUCCGGAGAAGAAGCCCCGGCUAACUUCGUG